rnacentral:rRNA from 1 species
AACAGGCUUAUCUCCCCCAAGAGUCCACAUCGACGGGGAGGUUUGGCACCUCGAUGUCGGCUCAUCACAUCCUGGGGCUGUAGUAGGUCCCAAGGGUUGGGCUGUUCGCCCAUUAAAGUGGUACGCGAGCUGGGUUCAGAACGUCGUGAGACAGUUCGGUCCCUAUCCGUCGCCGGCGUAGGAAAUUUGAGAAGACCUGUCCUUAGUACGAGAGGACCGGGAUGGACGUACCUCUGGUGUACCA